CCUACGGGAGGCUGCAGUGAGGAAUAUUGGUCAAUGGACGAGAGUCUGAACCAGCCAAGUAGCGUGAAGGAUGACUGCCCUAUGGGUUGUAAACUUCUUUUAUAAAGGAAUAAAACGAGGCACGUGUGCCUUUUUGCAUGUACUUUAUGAAUAAGGAUCGGCUAACUCCGUGCCAGCAGCCGCGGUAAUACGGAGGAUCCGAGCGUUAUCCGGAUUUAUUGGGUUUAAAGGGAGCGUAGAUGGGUUGUUAAGUCAGUUGUGAAAGUUUGCGGCUCAACCGUAAAAUUGCAAUUGAUACUGGCAGUCUUGAGUACAGUUGAGGUAGGCGGAAUUCGUGGUGUAGCGGUGAAAUGCAUAGAUAUCACGAAGAACUCCGAUUGCGAAGGCAGCUUACCAGUCUGCGACUGACGCUCAGGCACGAAAGUGUGGGUAUCGAACAGGAUUAGAUACCCUUGUAGUC
rnacentral:rRNA from 1 species